rnacentral:piRNA from 1 species
UUCAUAGUCUGAACGUGGGUGACUGUGUA